rnacentral:rRNA from 1 species
AGGGCACCACCAGGAGUGGAGCCUGCGGCUUAAUUUGACUCAACACGGGAAAACUCACCCGGCCCGGACACUGGAAGGAUUGACAGAUUGAGAGCUCUUUCUUGAUUCAGUGGGUGGUGGUGCAUGGCCGUUCUUAGUCGGUGGAGUGAUUUGUCUGGUUAAUUCCGAUAACGAACGAGACUCUAGCCUACUAAAUAGAUAGUCGGCUUACAAACGUCGACUAGACUUCUUAGAGGGACAGGCGGUGAUUCAACCGCACGAAACAGAGCAAUAACAGGUCUGUGAUGCCCUUAGAUGUCCGGGGCCGCACGCGCGCUACACUGAAGUGAUCAGCGUGCUUUUUCAGCCUACUCUGUCAAGAGUGGGAAACCCAAUGAACCUUCUUCGUGAUUGGGAUAGGGGAUUGUAAUUAUUCCCCUUGAACGAGGAAUUCCCAGUAAGCGCGAGUCAUAAGCUCGCGUUGAUUACGUCCCUGCCCUUUGUACACACCGCCCGUCGCUACUACCGAUUGAAUGUUUU